ACCUGGGAUGGCUCAGUGGGUAGAGCAUGAGACUCUUAAUCUCAGGGUCCUGGGUUUGAGCCCCACAGUGGGCA